CGAUGUCCUCUUCUUUAAUUGAGAGCCUCUAAGUUUAGGUGAUAUUUUGCGUUUGUGAAUAUAGCCUUAGGGUGCUCUCAAAAGGUGGCGUGGUUGAUCUUUCCAUGGCCGUUGCUUAAUUAGUGUGCUUGAGUUCACAAGAUUUACCUUCAUUAUCCAUUUUUUUUAAUGAAAUUAAGAUAUUGUUGUUGUCAAGUCACUUAAGAAAUUGCAUACUCUGCGGUAAGGCUCGUUGCAUGUUGAUUCAAUUUGUUGUGCAUCGCGAAAGUAUCCGUAGAUAAAUAAAGUAAACACAUAAAAC
rnacentral:misc_RNA from 1 species